UAUGAGGUGCUCACGUUUUUCUUACUAGGC
rnacentral:piRNA from 1 species